UAUGUUUGCGAUCUCUGCCUUGGUACCUAAGGAGGAAGAGGAGGAGGAGGAGGGUGUGUUGCUGAAUGGUGGCUAAAGCCUCCUCGGGACGGCGCUGAGGUGAAACAGGCUGAACCCGACUGAUGUGGCUCCUCUCUCGGUUGGACCCAGUGCCCUAAGCAGCCGAUGAGAGACCCCCGGCCGCCCGGCUCGCAGGCAUCUUUUUAGUGCUGAAAUGGACACGCUAAUUGUGAACCACGUGGUCAGGAGCUCCUUCUAAAAUAUGCAGCAGCACAUUUACUGGAAUUUAACAGGCUGUGUGCUUUAAAGCCUCUCCUGCCUGCAAGCGUGUGAGCAAACCCUGCAAGUCCCAGCGCCAGCUCGAGGUGCAGCAGAGCCCAGAAGGGCAGCCCUGGAACAGCCCCCACCGCUGGCAAGGCACCAGUGGAGGAGGAGACGCUGACCUGCGGCGGGAGCAGAGGCCUCGCCACCAGCAUCGCUCGCGGUUUCGCUUCUGGCAACGCGCAUUUCCAUUUUUCUCAAAGCUUCCACGUCUGUGUCAUCAGACAAAGCCCCACGAGUGGUGGCAGAGCAAACUGUAGCCUUCAUUUUCAAGUUCGAAGAGAAAAAAAAAUUAUUUACAUGUCUACGUCCCAGAACUGGCUGUCCAGAGGUCACUCUUUGUUGGCCACUGCUGUGAACCAUUAGGGCUUCCCAAAGCUCUAAAAGAAAUGGGACACAGUCUGCGGCAGAAAAAUCUCAUUGUUUAAAAUUUCCUUAAAUUCUAUUUCAUUGUAUUAUUAUUAUUUUAUUCGUAUGGUUUUUGUCCUACCAGAGGAAGAUGAAAGAUGGGAUCAUUGCUUGCAUGAAUGACUAUUUAAAUUGACUGUCAGAGCUUGCAGGACAAAUCUUUGACCCUUCUUAAGUUUGUUUUAAACUGAAGGAAAUUAUCUUUUAUUGAUUAGGACUUUAGGCUAUUUUUAAAGGAAAAUUAUUGAUUCAUCCAAUGAAUUUUACUGUUUAAUCAGUCUUCCACCUCAGUAUUUAUAUAUAGUUUUGGUUACAAAUUUAGGUAAAUGUUUAACUAUGUGUUUUAAUGCUGGCCUGCCUUUUUUCCCCCCUUUCCUGUUUAGGACAUGUUUUUCUGAAUCAAAUCCUUGAAUUUAGUGACAAUUAGUACAAUUUCCAGACACAUCAGCAAGAGUUUCUGUACUGUGUGGGAAUGUAGAUGUUAAGAGGAAGCACAAGUAAUGACUUUUUUUCCAUUCACAAAGGAAGCACUAAGACAUCAAGGUUAUUCAACAGAAAUUAAUAAAUGCAGCCUGGGAAGUUAUUAUUUUUCCAAACUGUGAGAAGAUCUCUGAAAUAAUAAAGAUAAAAUGCAACAAAAACCUGGAGAAAUUGUCUAAUUUUCUUAAAAAAAUAAUAGGAAACAAAAAAAAAAAGGCAUUUCACAGUGAAGAAAAUCUUCAGGCAGGGUAAAAAAAGAUUUUUUUGGCAGAGUGUUAGGGUAGCUUGAAAGAAAAAUCCAGGGACUGUUCUUUGCUGCUACUUCAGAAGCGUGUUGGGCAUUUAAUCUUAGUUGCCCUGUCUGCAAAUAGAAGAUGAUAAUGCUCUUUUUGCAGUGUUGUACAGUUUCUAGAAGUUUCACAAUGAAAGAGGGAAGCAUUUCAUAGGGUAUUUAAAAUUGCCUGUUGGGCCUCAUGUUUUUUAAAUAAAAGUUUAGACUACACAUCCUGGAGGAGAUGGGUCUCUAGGGCGGUGCAGGCAAUGUUUAAGUGGGGAAUUUUUUUGUUUCUUUUCUUUUUUUUUCUUUUGCUGUUUUAUUUUUUACACUGUUUAAUGGACUGAUUUUUGGUAUCCUCUCUGGAACAUACAGGUCUCUGGAGACUGAUAGAAAUGAGGUUUGCUGGGAAUAAAAGAGGCUUCUUUAGGAGAUGCCAUCAUCAUCAGAAUUCUGUCAUCAUCACAAAAACUUGAAAUUAGUAUGGCCGAUAUCUUAGUAUUUCAGCUACUAAACUUUCAGCAACAUUUUGUCUGGCUAACAUCUUAAAUGCCAUGGCUUUCCCAUUAGAUAAGCAGGCUGAUUUCAUUACUAUUUCUUGACAGAACAAGAUUAAAAAAAAAAAAAAAAGACUUGUGAAUCUCCUGUAGAGAAUUUUGGUGACAGAAACAGAACUGCUGUUAUAUGACUGUACAUAUUUUAUGAUACAGAAAAGGAAAUUAACAGGAAAUUAGUAGAAUUUCUACAGGAAUCUUUAGAAAAUCUAUGUAAAUAUAAAAUCCAACAAGCAAAUGGCAUCUCCACAGUUUAUUCUGGCAGGACUAACCACGUUUAUUCUGACAAUAUUAUUGUCACAAUUAUUCUGGGCAAGGAGUGUGCCCAGGGUGGUCUCUCCUGAUGCCUGCCCCGUGUUGCCAGCCUUUAGUUCUGCUCUGGGGUGGCUGUUGUCACCACAGAGCUGUGCAAUGGCACUGUGCAGAUUUGUCCUCUGGCAUAUCCCAUGCCUUGACCCUGAGUGUAGCUCCGUGCUCUUGCAGUGAGUCUUGAAAUGUGCUCUGGCCUGGAGCAAGGGCCCAAGUUCAUAGGGCUAGGGACAAAAGAAGCCCCACAAUUUGACUCCUGUCUGAAACUUUCAGCAUUUACGGUAGGAAAGGUAAUUAACAAAGCAGAUACAGAAUUAAGAUGUUUUAUCAUAAUAUCAAAAGCAAGAAUGCAACAUUUUUCUCUUUAGGUAAUCAGUGAAGGGACAACAGUGUCUGUUACCUGCAAUUUUGCCAGUGGUAAGUGCCAGCUGAGAGCUGAAGCACAGGUGUAGGAAAUGCUUGUCAUUUACCACUGACAUGCUCACAAGAUGCCACCAAAUGUAUCAGGCUCUACUAGAACAGAAGAAACCAUAAUUACUGAAUGAUAAAAAUGGAUACAAUUGUUGGUGAAUUAAAGACUCAGAAAGAGAUUAACUUUGAUAACAAUUUGUUAUCUGUCUUUAAUUAAAUCCAGAGUGAUUUAAACAAAUAAGAGCAUCUUUAGGGCUUAUGUUUUAAUUGUGAAAAUGACUAACUUGUGCAUGUUGUUAUUUCAAGCUACUUUAACUGCAUUACUUGCAUAAGUUCAAGAAGCAGAAUUUCAUUCCAUCUGGUGAUUAUUUACUUUAAUUAAUCAUACAGUCAAAAAACAUAGAAUUAAAAAAAUAAUUACUAAAAACCUGUUUGAACCUAAUAGAGAAAUUUAGGUGACUAUAUAUGUCCAUAUGGAACCUGAAAAUUUCAACACACUUCAAAAAAUGAAUAGAGAAAACAGUCAGGGAGCUAAAAAUCCUGUGAUUUCCUCAAAAAGCCUAUUUUUGCUACUAUUUCAACAGAUUUAUGUAUCAAGAAUAGAUGUAUAUAUAAACUGCUUUUGAAGAUAUUUUUACUUUUAAAAAAAAUUAAUGAGUUAUAUGUGCUACUGAGAUGGAAGCUGUUUACUUUCACUGCACUCUGAACCUCUGACCCAGGUUAAAUACACACGGAGACCUAGUAUGUUAAUUUAAGGAUCAAAAAAAAGUUUCCAGUUGGUUCUAUUUGGUCUGUCAGUAAAACAUUUUUGGGCUUAAGGAGGUGUGUGACUCACCUGAGGACGAGGAAUGUUAAAUCAUUUACAGGUUGGGCACUUUCCAAAUCAUGAGUGCUAUCAUUCUGAUACCCUUAAAAACCACUAGGCUGACUUGCAGACCAUUACCUUCCAGCAGGAAAUUACUCAGAAGCCUCACUGGAUCAGCAGCAAGCCUACAAGUGUACUUCUCUAGAGUGGGACAUGACCACCCUGUCUCCUGUCUUGGACAUGAAAGCCAUAUGAUAAAUAAUAACAAUAACAAAACCAGUAACAGUAAUAAAUAUCUAAUAUUUAACAAAUAAAAUGUCUUAAUAAUUUGGUAUUAUCUAAUAUGCUAAAAUUCAGAAUAAUUAAUACUGGCAAAAAGUAGCAGACUGCAUCCCAAAAAAGUGAUUUUUGCUGUAUUGUUACAGAUGUUCUAACUAUGCAAACAACAGGUUGCAAUGCUAUACUUUUAAAACUCCAGUGGUAUGAAAAUGUGCACAUGUGCACAGCAGAUCACUGGUUUUUGCAGUCAAGGCAGUCUCUGCUUCUGCUAUACAUUUUCCCUGCUGAUAUGCUCCUUUUUUUUUUUUUUUGAGAUUGUCAUAUGGUAUAACACUUUUACUACUUGACUCCUCCCACUUUUCUUCAAACCACAUCCUGAUUUUUGGCCUCAGAAACUAAACAUAUGCACAACUUACAGAACAACACAUGAUAUUGUUUCUGUAUAACAUCAUACCAGCUGGGAUAUAAAUUCUUACAGACAAUUUUAUGUGAAUGAAAAAUACCUACAUUGAGACAUUUUCCAUAGUUGUGCAACACAUACCACAGUAGAGCAUAUGGUUUAGAGUCAGAGAUCCUCACGUAGAAUUAUAACAAAAGUCUCAAGUCAGGCCACAGAUCUUCAGACAGUGUAAUUUUGAAUAGAUCAUCCUAAUUUAUUUCUAUUUUAUUUCUUACUACUUCUAUUCUGUUUUGGAUUCCUGGAAUCCAAACUCAGCAAAUUUGUGGGCAUAUUUAAGACCUUCAAAUUUUAGCUAUUUUAUUCAUUUGGUAUCAAGUCAAAUAAAAUUAUCAUUUAACUAAGGAAUAGGUAAUUUAUGAUGAAAUUUUAACUUGUAUCAUGAUUUGAAGAUAUGCCAAUAGGCACGACUCCUCAUUUUUGGGAAAUAUAUUUCAUACAUAAUUUCAUUAGUGAAAGAUUUUUUUUUUCUGAUCUUUCAGUGUCAUGUAUGUAUGUAUGUAUGUAUGUAUGUAUGUAUGUAUGUAUGUAUGAAUUUAUUUAUUUAUUUGGGGCAAUGGUGGAAGUGGUUGGGUGGUUGUUACAUUCCCCUUCAGGAUAAAGAAUCUGCGUGUGAGGCUUUUCUCCCACGAUCUAUAAACUUUAAUCAAGUCAUACUCAGCCCUCAUUUUUAGUAAUCAAAGACAUUGAGUUUACGCUUUCACAGCAAAUAAUUUUCUUCUGCUCUCAAAUUAAUUUUAAAUGCAAUUUUGUGAAGUCUCCAUUUUUUUCCCACCAUUCUCAUUAAAAUAUGGACAACAGAUCCGUGGGAAUUAUUCCAAUAAUUGCAUCAGCAUUCAAGGAUUACAUUCUCUGUUCAUGCAGCUUCAUGGUGGGAGCUCAUGUUGGGUUGCUGCUCCACCAUGGCCCCUAAAUCCUGGUGGAGUCGAGGCACUCCCUGUCACCGUACCCCAUUUUUGGGGGGCUGAAAUCCAUUUGUAUUAUGUUUAACUGUGCAUUCGUGUCUCCUAAGAUGUUCAUUUCUUGCAAUGGAUCUAGCUGAUAAAGAAAUCUCUUCCUUAGUUUUAUAAUGCUGUACUCACUGAGGGAUGUUUCUGUCACCCUCAGAUCCUCAGCAUGGUAAUUUGUACUUGCACCUCUGGGUCACUGCUGGGAAUAGCACUGGGCCCAGUAAAGGUGCCUGCUGGAUACAAUUAGAAACAAUUCAAUAUUAAUUUUCUGUUUAAUAUAUCCUUUGACGAUCUGCUUGCCAGCUCUUGAUUGAAAUUGUGUACAUUGAUGCUAUGUAGCAGACCUUUUAUUUUCUUAAUAAAAUUAUCUUGCUGCAUUUACAAA